rnacentral:rRNA from 1 species
ACUCCUACGGGAGGCAGCAGUAGGGAAUCUUCCACAAUGGGCGCAAGCCUGAUGGAGCAACACCGCGUGAGUGAAGAAGGGUUUCGGCUCGUAAAGCUCUGUUGUUAAAGAAGAACACGUAUGAGAGUAACUGUUCAUACGUUGACGGUAUUUAACCAGAAGUCACGGCUAACUACGUGCCAGCAGCCGCGGUAAUACGUAGGUGGCAAGCGUUAUCCGGAUUUAUUGGGCGUAAAGAGAGUGCAGGCGGUUUUCUAAGUCUGAUGUGAAAGCCUUCGGCUUAACCGGAGAAGUGCAUCGGAAACUGGAUAACUUGAGUGCAGAAGAGGGUAGUGGAACUCCAUGUGUAGCGGUGGAAUGCGUAGAUAUAUGGAAGAACACCAGUGGCAAAGGCGGCUACCUGGUCUGCAACUGACGCUGAGACUCGAAAGCAUGGGUAGCGAACAGGAUUAGAUACCCUGGUAGGAUAGCG